AUUGAACGCUGGCGGCAGGCUUAACACAUGCAAGUCGAGCGGGGGAAGGUAGCUUGCUACCGGACCUAGCGGCGGACGGGUGAGUAAUGCUUAGGAAUCUGCCUAUUAGUGGGGGACGACAUCUCGAAAGGGAUGCUAAUACCGCAUACGUCCUACGGGCGAAAGCAGGGGAUCUUCGGACCUUGCGCUAAUAGAUGAGCCUAAGUCGGAUUAGCUAGUUGGUGGGGUAAAGGCCUACCAAGGCGACGAUCUGUAGCGGGUCUGAGAGGAUGAUCCGCCACACUGGGACUGAGACACGGCCCAGACUCCUACGGGAGGCAGCAGUGGGGAAUAUUGGACAAUGGGGGGAACCCUGAUCCAGCCAUGCCGCGUGUGUGAAGAAGGCCUUAUGGUUGUAAAGCACUUUAAGCGAGGAGGAGGCUACUUUAGUUAAUACCUAGAGAUAGUGGACGUUACUCGCAGAAUAAGCACCGGCUAACUCUGUGCCAGCAGCCGCCGUAA
rnacentral:rRNA from 1 species